rnacentral:rRNA from 1 species
CCCUUAGAUGUCCUGGGCCGCACGCGCGUUACACUGAUGCAUUCAACGAGCUUAUAACCUUGGCCGAGAGGCCUGGGCAAUCUUGUUAACGUGCAUCGUGAUAGGGAUAGAUUAUUGAAAUUAUUAAUCUUGAACGAGGAAUUCCUAGUAAACGCAGAUCAUCAAUCUGCAUUGAUUACGUCCCUGCCCUUUGUACACACCGCCCGUCGCACCUACCGAUUGGAUGGUCCGGUGAAGCCUCGGGAUUGUGGUUCUUGCCGCUUUAUUGUGGCGUGACCGCGAGAACUUGUCUAAACCUUACCACCUAGAGGAAGGUGAAGUCGUAACA